rnacentral:tmRNA from 1 species
GGGGACGCGUGGGUUCGACAGGGGAUGCUCUUGCGGGAUUGCAGGCCGAGGCGCCAUCGCACCGCGUUAAAAGGUGGCAAAAUUUUAACUGGCAACAACGAGCUAGCACUAGCCGCCUAAGGGUGGCUACGUUCACCGUCAACGUUCCUCGAAGGGGGCGGAUGGGCGACACAAAUCGAGGCGCUGUCUCGGGGACGCCGAUAAACGAGACCUAAGAUCAUCUGGCUGGCUCCCAGCAAUCCUCGUCGGCGGGGACGCGAAGGAGCGAGAAUUAAACGCCGACUAAGCCUGUAGCAUAUCCUAGUCGAGAAGUCUUCUGGACGGGGAGUUCAACCCUCCCCCGUCUCCACCA